rnacentral:rRNA from 1 species
UACGGAGGGAGCUAGCGUUGUUCGGAAUUACUGGGCGUAAAGCGCGCGUAGGCGGCUUUGUAAGUUAGAGGUGAAAGCCCGGAGCUCAGCUCCGGAACUGCCUUUAAAACUGCAUCGCUUGAAUCCAGGAGAGGUGAGUGGAAUUCCGAGUGUAGAGGUGAAAUUCGUAGAUAUUCGGAAGAACACCAGUGGCGAAGGCGGCUCACUGGACUGGUAUUGACGCUGAGGUGCGAAAGCGUGGGGAGCAAACAGG